AACCAGACUCCUACGGGAGGCAGCAGUGGGGGAUAUUGCACAAUGGGGGAAACCCUGAUGCAGCGACGCCGCGUGGGCGAAGAAGUAUUUCGGUAUGUAAAGCCCUAUCAGCAGGGAAGAAGAAAUGACGGUACCUGAGUAAGAAGCACCGGCUAAAUACGUGCCAGCAGCCGCGGUAAUACGUAUGGUGCAAGCGUUAUCCGGAUUUACUGGGUGUAAAGGGAGCGUAGACGGCACUGCAAGUCCGGAGUGAAAGCCCAAGGCUUAACCAUGGGACUGCUCUGGAAACUGUGGAGCUUGAGUGCGGGAGGGGCAGGCGGAAUUCCUAGUGUAGCGGUGAAAUGCGUAGAUAUACGGAGGAACACCAGUGGCGAAGGCGGAUUGCUGGACAGUAACUGACGCUGAGGAGCGAAAGCGUGGGUAGCAAACAGGAUUAGAUACCCGAGUA
rnacentral:rRNA from 1 species